ACAGAAAGAAAGGAGAGGCAGGGGAAGAGAGCCCCAACGGGAUUCCCCUGUCCCUUCUCAUUUUCUGUGCCCCUUUGGGGGGCUGUCCUGGCAGACCAUUCCUCCUAUGGCAACAAUAAGCCAGCAUCCUAUGACAUGGCUGACGAUGGAUGACGCUAUAAUGGCUUCAAGGCUCUGGAGCAGGCUGAACGUAAUCAUGCCAAGCACAGCAUCUGUGAUGUAGAAUUUACAUGUCCCAGAGAGAGAAAGAGCUGUAACGCAUAACCAAACCUCUGGACUAACAAGGAGUUUCAUGGCAGGAUUGUGCUGUAAUUUUUUGAUUUCUGUUUUCUGGCUGCGAAAUGGGAGGAUCCUGAGGUCAGGUCACCCCAACAUCACCCAUACCCUUGAGGCUGAGCAUCCAAGAGAUUUGCUUUUCCCACAGAAGGAAUAUGUCCCCUGAUGUAACAAUGCCUUCUUACUGCAAUCAUUUUUCCAGAAAUUGUCCUUACCUCCACAGACCAGGAAGAGAGUUUUAAGAACCCCUGCCCAAGGGGCAGAGCACCUGUCAAUCGACCACCAAUCCAUGUUCACUUUUGGCAGAAGCUUUUCUGAAGCUGUCGUAGAGUUUGAGCUUUCUAUGAAGGUGCGGUUCUAUUUCACCAGAGUAGACAUUCUCCUCUCCCGUGGCACGCCGGGAAGAUGAAGCUGGAUAGCUCCAUGGGGGUAUUAAGUACAGGUUCUAACACCAUUUCAUCCUGCUUGCCUUUGCCUGAAACAAACUCUCAGCUCAUCUCUGCUCUUGCACCUGGAGGCAACAAGGAAUGUACCUAAGCACAGUGUCUCCAGUUGUCUCUAAACAGCAACCUCAAGGAAGAGACGAGUCAUAAAGGAUGAACUCUACAUAUUCAAAUGUUUGAAAAUUGAAGGAGUGAGAUAUUUCCCCUCUGGAAAAUGCCUGAAGCUCUGCAUCAUUUGACUCUUAAAUAUAGUUAUUUUUCUACCACCUCAGAGGGAGGCUCUUUCUGGCAAGAGAUAAGGAAGUCUAACUAUCCAGUGUUCUCUCAAUGAAGAGAAAAUUUGAAUGUGAUGGCCAGCAAGAGAUCUGCAGGUACAAAAGGGGGCACUGGAGACUUCCAUAGCCCUUUUCUGCUGUAGUCAUGACUAAUCCAAGCCUUUUUCCACUUCCCUUUCUGACAAAAGCAACUGGGUCUUUAAUUGGGUCUCAUAAUUUCUCACUGAGUUGGAUUCAGAAUAAUGAGGCACUCACCAGUUUGGGCACAUUCCAUGUCCAUGGUCUUGUUGGUUUUACUAUUGUCUGUUCUCACAGAGGUUUAAGUGCAUAAACAAAUCCAAGCAAUGCAAACAUUCUGAAGGGAACAUGACUAGGAAUAGGUCCAGACCCUAAGCACUACUUGACAUCCUGAACAGAGGAUAUAUUGUUCCAGUAGACCUCCUCAUCCUAUCUGGCUCCUGACCCAAACCAAACAGAACUUUCCUUAGCUCCUCCAAGCUUCAGAGAAUAUGGUACUCUCAGCUCCUAACUCAGCAGCUUUCUGACAACCACAGCCAUCGUAAGAAAGAUGUCAUACAUUGGAAUACAGUAUACACACAUAUGCAUGCACACACACACACACACACACACACACUCAAACACACUUAUACACAACGUAACAGUCAAAGUGCAAUGUGUCCUGAUAUUUUCUGUUCUAUUUUGCUUAUCUUCCAGCCUUUGUUUAAAGCUGCUCAUAACCUACUAACCCAAUUUCAUGAGCCACUAAUGGGUCACAACCCACAGUUUGAAAAAUGUGACUCUAGGCUCUACCAGGGUUAUCAGAUAAAAUUGAGCCUGCCCCAUUCCCUAAACUCAUGGGAUAUCCUGGUCUCCACAUAUGAAAAUGUCUCUAACACCCUCUUACAGAGACACCUUUCUCAGUCCUCCUGGGCACUUUACUUCUUUUUUUGUUCUUUGUGAAUCUGACUUUAGUUGGCCUACGUUUGGGAUUCCCUGUGAAUCCUCCCUCCCAUUCUACGUGCCAUCAUUUCUUUGGUCCAUACUUCCUCUGACAGCUUUUGUUUCAUUAAUCACUGCCUCCCACUUGAGACACACCUCCACACAGCUCUAAGACACAUGAAAGAUGGCUGCAUGCCACCCUGUCAUGCUUUAAAACUUAAAUUCCUAAAGUCCAUGUUUGGAUAAAGAAUUCUGCCUCCACCAUUAGUGUUUAGACUUUAGACUUUAAUACACAUGUCAUUUCCCCACACAUCAUGGGAUUUAUUGAAAUUAUAUGUAGAAAUUAUUAAAAUAAUAAUAUGUAGGCCACUGCUUUGUUCUUGAAUGUGAACAGGAUGUGAUAAAGCCUUUUCCUAAGUGGAUGUUUUUACUGCUUUGAUAUGUUGCUUUGAAACACAUUUCUUCUUGAGGAGAAAUUGGAUCCCCGUGACCUGUUAGUGGUAAUGUAAAAUGGUGCAGCCUCUGUGGAAAACAGUAUGGUAUUUCCUAAAAAAUUAGGCAUAGAAUCCCUCUAUGAUUCAGUCAUUUCACUUCUGGGUAAAAACCCCCAAAUUGACAGUAGACACUAAAACAGAUAUUUGUGCUCCCAUGUUCUCAGCAGCAUUAUUUACAACAGCCAAAAGGUGGGAGUAACCCAAGUGUCAUUGGCAGAGGAAUGGAUAAACAAAAUGUGGCCUAUACAGACAAUGGAACAUUCUUCAGUCUUAAAACGGAGGGAAAUUCUGAUAGAUGCUACAACAUGGAUAAACCAUGAGGGCAUUAUGCUCAGUGAUCUAAGUCAGUCACAAAAGGACAAAUACCUCUUAUAUGAAGUAUCUAGAGUAGUAAAAUUCAUAGAGACAGAAGGUAGAAUGAUGGUUACCAGAGGCUGGGGGUAGUUAGUGUUUCAUGGGGACAGAGUUUCAGUUUGGAAAGAUGAAGGGUUCUGUGAAGGGCUGGUGGUAAUGGCAGUGGAAGGCCACUGCACUGGACACUUAAAAAGAGUUUAAAUGGUAAGUUUCAUGCUAUGUAUAUUUUACCACAAGUAAGCAAAGAACUUUUUAAAGACCUCGUAUCCUCUAGCACAGGCUCAGUGCUGAGGCGUAGAUGGGAGCAGGCAUGACCCAAAGGCCUAACCCAAAGUCUCCUAUUCUGAGUGGCAAAUUGCUAUGAUGUCUCUUGUUCUAUCCUGAUAUUCAUGCAAACUUUGCUUUCCUCCCCAUAAAGCUUCUGUUUGUUAUAGUACGGUAACAUUUUGGUUAUUUAUUUUGUGAACUCUUCGUGUAGAAAUGGUUCUAGUUAGAUGUGCCCAGUCAAAUCUCAUCUGAAACAGCAGGAACAUUUUCAUGUUUCACACAGGAAGAAGCCCUGAUGUAGGACAUUUCCAGGUUUGUGUAUGGCGGCUAUUCAAAGCCACCAUUAAGGGCCCAGAGUGCACUUUCCAGCUGGCCCUUCUGUGGGUCCAGCUUUGUUCUUGAACUGGUGCUCUCAGGGUUGCAAUAUGGCUGCUGCAGUUUCAGGCACCACCAGCACUCCAGACAAAUGUCCAUGUACAUGAACUUGUUGGUUACUUGAGUCUUUUUUUAACACUCAAGACCACUUUCCAGAAGCCACUCUCCAACCCUCCCUUCCUUUCUUAUCAGCCAGUCUGGAGCCAUAGGUCCAAGAGCAAUGGUUACUAAGAUUGUUUUUUUCUAACCAGGAUUCUCGUCCAGUCAUGAUGGGCUUAUUCUUAUUCUUUUUCUUUCUUUUUUUUUUUUAAAUCCUUCCCUUCCCUUCCC